rnacentral:rRNA from 1 species
CCUACGGGGGGCUGCAGUAAGGAAUAUUGGUCAAUGGAGGAAACUCUGAACCAGCCAUCCCGCGUGAAGGAUGAAGGGGCUCUGCCUUGUAAACUUCUUUUGUCUGGGGCGAAAAAGCUCGAUUUAUCGAGAACUGACGGUACCAGAAGAAUAAGCACCGGCUAACUCCGUGCCAGCAGCCGCGGUAAUACGGAGGGUGCCAGAAUUAUCCGGAAUCACGGGGGCGAAAGGGUCCUAGGGAGGCUGUGGAGAAAGGCUGUGGCUUAACCAUGGAAUUGCCAUUGAUACUGCAGAGCUUGAAUGAGGUUGAGGUUGGCGGAAUGUGACAUGUAGCGGUGAAAUGCUUAGAUAUGUCAUGGAACACCGAUUGCGAAGGCAGCUGACUGGACCUAUAUUGACGCUGAGGCACGAAAGCGUGGAGAGCGAACAGGAUUAGAUACCCCAGUAGUC